UAGGACGGACGCCCCGAUGGAUAAUC
rnacentral:piRNA from 1 species